rnacentral:rRNA from 1 species
GAUGAACGCUGGCGGCGUGCCUAAUACAUGCAAGUCGAGCGAACAGACGAGGAGCUUGCUCCUCUGACGUUAGCGGCGGACGGGUGAGUAACACGUGGAUAACCUACCUAUAAGACUGGGAUAACUUCGGGAAACCGGAGCUAAUACCGGAUAAUAUAUUGAACCGCAUGGUUCAAUAGUGAAAGACGGUUUUGCUGUCACUUAUAGAUGGAUCCGCGCCGCAUUAGCUAGUUGGUAAGGUAACGGCUUACCAAGGCAACGAUGCGUAGCCGACCUGAGAGGGUGAUCGGCCACACUGGAACUGAGACACGGUCCAGACUCCUACGGGAGGCAGCAGUAGGGAAUCUUCCGCAAAGGGCGAAAGCCUGACGGAGCAACGCCGCGUGAGUGAUGAAGGCCUUCGGAUCGUAAAACUCUGUUAUUAGGGAAGAACAAAUGUGUAAGUAACUAUGCACGUCUUGACGGUACCUAAUCAGAAAGCCACGGCUAACUACGUG